AUUGAACGCUGGCGGCAGGCCUAACACAUGCCAGUCGAACGGAGUGGCGGACGGGUGAGUAAUGUCUGGGAAACUGCCUGAUGGAGGGGGAUAACGACUGGAAACGGGCGAUAAUACCGCAUAAUAUCAGAUGAGCCUAGGGGGGAUUAGCUAGUUGGUGGGGUAAACGCCUACCAAGGCGACGAUCCGUAACUGGUCUGAGAGGAUGAUCAGUCACCCUGGAACUGAGACACGGUCCAGACUCCUACGGGAGUCAGCAGUGGGGAAUAUUGGACAAUGGGCGAAAGCCUGAUCCAGCCAUGCCGCGUGUGUGAAGAAGGUCUUCGGAUUGUAAAGCACUUUAAGUUGUGAGGCGUUACCAACAGAAUAAGCACCGGCUAACUUCGUGAAAGCCGCCGCGGUAAUAC
rnacentral:rRNA from 1 species